UUCAGUUGUUCCGGGACUGACGCAUCUCCUCACGCCGUCGAGGCCUUCACACACCCAAAGCGGAUCCGCGGCGGUGAAAACGAUCGACAGCCGGCCACAUGAGCCAGGCAGCGAUGCAGAAAGAGGCUCACCAAAAUCAGGCCGACAUGCGAGAAAUCGCUUUUUGGCGCACAGGGCACAUUCGUCCAAAGACACAAGCACAGGUGCACACACACACACAAACUGACAGAGAGAGGGAAAGAAACACACAGAGAGUGAGAGACAGAGAGAGAAGAGCGAAUGGGAGACACACACACACACACACACACACACACACACAGAGUCA
rnacentral:lncRNA from 1 species